rnacentral:rRNA from 1 species
UACGAGGGGGGCAAAUGUUGUUCGGAAUCACUGGGCGUAAAGGGCGCGUAGGUGGCCCGACAAGUCACUGGUGAAAGCUCGACGCUCAACGUCGAGUCGGCCAGUGAUACUGUUGGGCUGGAGCACUGUAGAGGCUCAUGGAAUUCCGGGUGUAGCGGUGGAAUGCGUAGAGAUCCGGAAGAACACCGGUGGCGAAGGCGGUGAGCUGGGCAGUAGCUGACACUGAGGCGCGACAGCGUGGGGAGCAAACAGG